UUCAGCCAUAAAAGUCAACAGUGUUUUGCCAUUGACCUUCACAAGCAUUAAAUCAGGCUGAAAGAUGAUUCUGUGAUUCUAUGACUGAAGGAUGAGGAAGGAUGGGGGAGGGGAAAGUGGGCCUCUUUCUCAGAAUAAUGUAAUUCUGUGCAUGUUUAUUUUGGCCUUUAUAGUACCUGAGUCAGUAAUAGUGAAAGGCCGUAGGUGAAACAGUGAUACUCUACCAAAUCUCUGUCUUCACUGAUCUCCAGCUAUAUGCAGAAAGCUUCUUUGUGCAGAAGGUGCUAACCUGCUACUGCUGCCCAAAAUGGGGAAGAGACUGAGCAAGGUCUUCUCAGAAACUAAGUGGGUAAUACCGAAAUUUUUGGAAAGCAGAAGACUCCAGAGAGACAGAUGUAACAGUAAGAAAAACUGCAGAUAAGCCUAGAACCCUCAGAAUGCAGUGUGAAUGCCUGGAAGAAAGACUCACCAAGCAAGCUUUGUAACAGACACUGGAGGACAUCAUCAUCAAAUUGCAAAUACUGCUGUCAAUAGAAAGAAAGGAAGCUCUAUUUUUCAAAUCACAUACCCUCUACAAAUUACUGCCUCAGCUGUAAUUAGGAACAUGCCCUUAACUAUAAAUAAAACACACAAUAGGAAAAAAAAGAAAAAAAAGAAUUUCACUCUGACUUUUGACAGGGACACUUUGUGAGAUCCCAAUUAGGAUUCUUUGUACUUAAACCAAAAAAAUGAAUCAGAUCCAUGCUGUUGAAUACUGACUCACUGUAACAAAUUAGCCACUGGGACAUGAAGGUUUCCUAUUGUAACCUGCUGGAUAUCACCAUCAUAUUUUGCAUUGCUCCAUAUGAAAAUUAUCUGCCUCUUUUCACACCCUAGCACAGAUUUUUUUUUUUUCCUUUCACUCUCCCUUAGCCCUUCUACAUACACAGAACACCUGUUAAUUGUCAUUAAAAUUGAAUAUCACUAAC